CAAUAGCGUAUAUUAAAGUUGUUGCGGUUAAAAAGCUCGUAGUUGGAUUUCUGCUGAGAACGACCGGUCCGCCCUCUGGGUGUGUAUCUGGCUCUUUCUUGGCAUCUUCUUGGUGAACGUUGCUGCACUUGACUGUGUGGAGCGCUACCCAGGACUUUUACUUUGAGGAAAUUAGAGUGUUUCAAGCAGGCAUACGCCUUGAAUACAUUAGCAUGGAAUAAUAAGAUAGGACCUCGGUUCUAUUUUGUUGGUUUCUAGAGCUGAGGUAAUGAUUAAUAGGGAUAGUUGGGGGCAUUCGUAUUUAACUGUCAGAGGUGAAAUUCUUGGAUUUACGCAAGACAAACAGCUGCGAAAGCGUCUGCCAAGGAUGUUUUCAUUAA
rnacentral:rRNA from 1 species